AUUGAACGCUGGCGGCAGGCCUAACACAUGCAAGUCGAGCGGAGCGGCGGACGGGUGAGUAAUGCCUAGGAAUCUGCCUGGUAGUGGGGGAUAAAGUCCGGAAACGGGCGCUAAUACCGCAUACUGAUGGAUGCAACCUCGGGGCAUUAGCUAGUUGGUGAGGUAACGGCUCAACCAGGCCACGAUGCAUAGCCGGCCUGAGAGGGUGAUCGGCCACACUGGGACUGAGACACGGCCCAGACUCCUACGGGAGGCAGCAGUGGGGAAGAUUGGACACUGGGCGAAAGCCUGAUGCAGCCAUGCCGCGUGUGUGAAGAAGGUCUUAUGUUUGUAAAGCACUUUAGGUUGGGAGGCGUUACCUACAGAAUAAGCACCGGCUAACUUCGUGCCAGCCGCCGCGGUAAUUC
rnacentral:rRNA from 1 species